rnacentral:rRNA from 1 species
GUAAAAAGUCGUAACAAGGUUUCCGUAGGUGAACCUGCGGAAGGAUCAUUAACGAGUUAGAUAAAGGGUCUAUUUGAGCUGGCUUUUGCAAGUGCUCGAUGGAUCCUCUCUCUCAUUCAACAAACCCCCCUUGUGCACUAUGGAGCGAGGUUGAAUUGAGUUGCAUAUAUGCGCUCGAAGAGACCGAGCUUUCUAUUACAAACACUAUUGUUGUCUUGUGGAAUGGUUAUUAAAAAAAAAUAAUACAACUUUCAACAACGGAUCUCUUGGCUCUCGCAUCGAUGAAGAACGCAGCGAAAUGCGAUAAGUAAUGUGAAUUGCAGAAUUCAGUGAAUCAUCGAAUCUUUGAACGCACCUUGCGCUCCUUGGUAUUCCGAGGAGCAUGCCUGUUUGAGUGUCAUGAUAUUCUCAAUCUUGUUAACUUUUUUGUUAACUCGAUUGGACUUGGAGGUUCUGCUGGUUUCUUUCUUUGAAAUCGGCUCCUCUCGAAUGCAUUAGCUGGGCUUGUGCUCGAUGCAACAGUGUAAUAGUCAUAAGUUCACUGGUGCAACUUGCAAUAAUAGGUCUGCUUUCCAAUCGUCUUGUUACAAGACAAAUAUAUGGGAGGGGAACUUGGUUCUCUUCAUCAUGAUCUCUUUGACCUCAAAUCAGGUAGGACUACCCGCUGAACUUAAGCAUAUCAAUAAGCGGAGGA